GUUCUCCGAAAUCUAAAUUUAACCCAAUUUCCCUCCUUUCCAGGCCGAAAUCAUCCUCCGUCGCCGGUACUUGCUGGGCAAAGCCACCGUUUGGGCGUCUACAGCCACAAUCUUCAAAGCUUCUCUUACAUACAAACAUACAUCCUCAGUCCUUUUCCUGCAGCUCUACGAAAUUACCACCUCCAUUCCUACCUCAAAAUCAACUACCAUUGCAGCCUCAAUUCCAACUGAUUUUGACGAAAACCUCCCGCUACAUCUACGUGCCGCUACGCGCCGCACUGGGUUCGUGCCUCCGCUUGAGAGGGUCCAAGUCAAAACACUUUUCUCACCAAAUCGCUUAAACUCAACGGAUCACGUUUCAUCCAUUCCCAACAGCUGAGUGUAAUAGAAAAUGGCAACAGAGUCAUCGGAGGGAGAAGAAGAAGGGAAGAUUACAGGAUGGAGUCAGCACCUGAUUGUGGACGAUGACCUCAGAGA
rnacentral:misc_RNA from 1 species